CCUACGGGAGGCAGCAGUGAGGAAUAUUGGUCAAUGGACGAGAGUCUGAACCAGCCAAGUAGCGUGAAGGAUGACUGCCCUCUGGGUUGUAAACUUCUUUUAUAUGGGAAUAAAAUGUUCCACGUGUGGGAUUUUGUAUGUACCAUAUGAAUAAGGAUCGGCUAACUCCGUUCCAGCAGCCGCGGUAAUACGGAGGAUCCGAGCUUUAUCCGGAUUUAUUGGGUUUAAAGGGAGCGUAGGUGGAUUGUUAAGUCAGUUGUGAAAGUUUGCGGCUCAACCGUAAAAUUGCAGUUGAUACUGGCAGUCUUGAGUACAGUAGAGGUGGGCGGAAUUCGUGGUGUAGCGGUGAAAUGCUUAGAUAUCACGAAGAACUCCGAUUGCGAAGGCAGUUCACUGGACUGCAACUGACACUGAGGCUCGAAAGUGUGGGUAUCAAACAGGAUUAGAUACCCCGGUAGUC
rnacentral:rRNA from 1 species